AGGGGUUUGGGGUGUGAGGCUCCACCGCUCCUGCCUUCCCAAAAACACCUGGAAAAAUGGAAAUCCGGGAUCACAGGAGGGAAAGGGGUGUGAGGCUCCACAGCUCCUGCCUUCCCAAAAAACACCUGGAAAAAUGGAAAUCCGGGAUCAGACAAGGAAAAGGGAAAGGGGUGCGAGGCUCCACCGCUCCUGCCUUCCCAAAAAACACCUGGAAUUAUGGAAAACAUGGAUCAGAGCUGGGAAAGGGGUGUGAGGCUCCACCGCUCCUGCCUUCCCAAAAACACCUGGAAAAAUGGAAAUCCGGGAUCAGAGCUGGAAAAGGAAAAGAGGUGUGAGGCUCCAUUGCUCCAAGGGAAAGGGGUUUGGGGUGUGAGGCUUCACUGCUCCUGCCUUCCCAAAAAACACCUGGAAUCAUGGAAAACAUGGAUCAGAGCUGGGAAAGGGGUGUGAGGCUCCACCGCUCCUGCCUUCCCAAAAAACACCUGGAAUCACAGAAAUCUGGGAUCAGAGGAGGGAAAGGGUUUUGGGGUGUGAGGCUCCACCGCUCCUGCCUUCCCAA